AUGCAUUGGUAUGCAUGGUGGAAGAUAUGCGUCCAAAAGAAGAAAGGGGGCACGGGAUUUACAAACUUGCACAACUUUAAUCUUGCUACGUUAGCAAACUAGUGUUGGCGUCUAAUCCAGAACCCUAAUUCAUUGUGUGCACAGGUAUUAAGUGCAAAAUAUUAUUUUGAUGGAAAUAUAUUGUUGGCUGGUCCCAAGAAAGGCUCUUCAUAUACUUGGCAAAGUAUAGUCUCGGGGAUCCAAACAUUUAAUAGGGGAUGUUUGUGGAGAAUUGGGAAUGGCUCAAAGAUAAAUAUUUGACAUGAUCCUUGGAUUCCGUCUAGUGUUUCAAGGAAGGAGAUCACACCAAGGGGACAAAAUUUACUAUCAAAGGUGGAGGAAUUGAUCAACUCACAUAUUGGUCAACGGGACGAGGAACUCAUACGUUCUGUUUUGAGCUAAGUGGAUGUUAAUAGAAUUAUGAAAAUCCCUCUCCAAGUUGAUAUUGUAGAGGAUUUUGUUGCAUGGAACCACACAAGGUCGGGAUAUUUCUUAGUGCGAUCUUCAUAUCAUGUGGGUUUGAUCGACAUAUGGUCAACGAACAAUACUUACUGA
rnacentral:rRNA from 1 species